UACGUAGGGGGCUAGCGUUGUCCGGAAUUAUUGGGCGUAAAGAGCGUGUAGGCGGCCGAGUAAGUCCGACGUGAAAUCUGGAGGCUCAACCUCCAGCGGUCGUUGGAAACUACUCGGCUAGAGUCCGGAAGAGGAGAGUGGAAUUCCUGGUGUAGCGGUGAAAUGCGCAGAUAUCAGGAAGAACACCCGUGGCGAAGGCGGCUCUCUGGGACGGUACUGACGCUGAGACGCGAAAGCGUGGGGAGCAAACAGG
rnacentral:rRNA from 1 species